rnacentral:rRNA from 1 species
AAUAGAUACCCCGGUAGUCCACGCCGUAAACGGUGGGCACUAGGUGUGGGCAACAUUCCACGUUGUCCGUGCCGCAGCUAACGCAUUAAGUGCCCCGCCUGGGGAGUACGGCCGCAAGGCUAAAACUCAAAGGAAUUGACGGGGGGCCCGCACAAGCGGCGGAGCAUGUGGCUUAAUUCGACGCAACGCGAAGAACCUUACCAAGGCUUGACAUACACCGGAAACAUCCAGAGAUGGGUGCCCCCUUGUGGUCGGUGUACAGGUGGUGCAUGGCUGUCGUCAGCUCGUGUCGUGAGAUGUUGGGUUAAGUCCCGCAACGAGCGCAACCCUUGUCCCGUGUUGCCAGCAGGCCCUUGUGGUGCUGGGGACUCACGGGAGACCGCCGGGGUCAACUCGGAGGAAGGUGGGGACGACGUCAAGUCAUCAUGCCCCUUAUGUUUUGGGCUGCACACGUGCUACAAUGGCCGGUACAAUGAGCUGCGAUACCGCGAGGUGGAGCGAAUCUCAAAAAGCCGGUCUCAGUUCGGAUUGGGGU